GCCCUGGUGGCACAGCUGUUAAAUGCACAUACCUCUCACCCAUGGUGGCCGGGGUUCGAAUCUGGGCCAGGGCA